GCCUUCCCAGCGCCCCCGGCGGUAGCAGAAGGAGCGUUGCGUUAGGCACCGUGGGCUUGCUGGGAGCCGUAGGGCAAGUGGCUGAAUUUUGGAAGGUGAGAAAUCACCCUCAUUAACCACCAGAAAAAAAAUUAAACCAAUGCUGUGGACUCCUUCAGUGAUUUUCUUCUGAGAGAAGCCUUCAAAUAUGAGCACAAGCAGUUAAAAUUAUGAACUGUCGGGGUGCCUGGGUGGCUCAG